UACGUAGGGACCAAGCGUUGUUCGGAUUUACUGGGCGUAAAGGGCGCGUAGGCGGCAUGACAAGUCACUUGUGAAAUCUCUGGGCUUAACCCAGAACGGCCAAGUGAUACUGUCGCGCUAGAGUGCGGAAGGGGCAAUCGGAAUUCUCGGUGUAGCGGUGAAAUGCGUAGAUAUCUGGAGGAACACCGGUGGCGAAGGCGACAUCCUGGACCGGUAUUGACGCUGAGGCGCGAAAGCCAGGGGAGCAAACGGG
rnacentral:rRNA from 1 species